AAGUUCAAUUUCUUCUAGCUUCCAUCUUGGUCUUGGAGUUGAAGACAACAUCUUUGCUACUUGAUUGUUGUGGGUUAAUCAUCAACAAGGUUGGAUUGAAGGUAAAUCAUUUGAUUUGAAAGAUAACUCUUGGGGAAUUAAUUUUGAAGCCAUGAAAGUGAAGUUUUGUUGUGAUUAUGAACUUGUAUGAUUCAUGUGGUGUUUAUGGUGUUGAUUGAUGGUUUAUUUUAGUGGUUUAUUGCUGCCCAAAUUUCGGUUAAACUUAUGAAAGAAUUAGGGUUUCUUGCUUCAUAGUUAUUCAAGUUGAUUUGGAUGAUUGUUUGGCUUGUAUAUGGAGCCUAUGAUGUGUUAAUUUCACUUGUGUGGUUAAUUGUUAGUAAAAUCAGAUUUUGACCAUGAAACCCUACAUUCCAUUAGGUUAGUUUAGCUUGGCUAGAGUUUAGUUGGUUAGGGUUUGGUUAGUAGAUUGUUGGAAUAAGUUCUAUGGUGCCAAUGAGUGAUGGAAUAAGUUCUAUGGUGCCAAUGAGUGAGGAUAGGGAUUUUGGUUAGUGUUUGGUAAUUUUAUGGUCUUAGAGGGAAAGUUUUGGCCCAUUAGUAAGCCAUGUAGAAGUUAAUAUAUGUGUGCUUAUUUGGUAGGAAUUGGGUUAGAAAGCUUGCAUAAGAAUCGUAGCAACGGACCAUGCGUUUGUGACGUUCGAAACCGGCAAAACUGGAACAGAGCAGUCCACAAAUCCGAACUUAAGUCCUAUUUUUAUUUAUGCUACGUGCUGAUUCAGAAGUUUCUCAAAACAUGAAAGUUGUAGCCUCUUAAGUCCUUCAUAUGCCUACAAAAUUUCAGGUCAAACGGAUCAGUGUAACCCGAGUUAUAGCCAAAACACUUGCACCUGUUUUGUACACUGGAUUGUGUUACGUUUUUUAAUUUUGCUUCUGACCAUGUUCUGUCCGUCUUGAUAACUUGUGAACUGGGUGUAGAUCCCUUCAUAAGAAAUAUAGAUCUUGGUUUUAACUUCAAAACGGUAUAAAGUGCAUCCGAAUCCGAGUUCCGUAGCUUCAGUUAUGACCAAAACAAGAUCGGUUGUCAGAACUGCCUUCUGAUUUGGACAGUUCUGACAGGAACUUUGAAUCUCUUUUUCCCUAUGCUCCAUACUGAUUCAGCUUUUGGUCAAAACACAAAAGUUAUAGCCUUAUAAAUAAGCUUUCUAUUGACUCUAGAAUUUAUUGAUUCCAAUUUCUGAGUCGUGAGUUAUGGUCUUUCAAACAGGGCCUGUUUGAUAACCCGAAAUGAAAUGGUUGGAACUGUUUUGCACAUUUUUGUCCUAGUUCCAUUGGGAUCUGACCUGAGGUGCCUUUAUGAAAGUUGUAGCCCUUCUUUUUAGCUUCGUAACAGUAUCUCAUGUACUUUGAUCCGAUAACCGUAGCCUGAAAUUUGAUCAAAACGAUUUUAGGUGCCAAAUCUGACCGUUUCCGUUUGCCGUUUCCGCGCGUACGUGUGUCCAUUUUGCCGUUUCCGCACUUGCAUGUGCCGAUUUUGCCAUUUUACUUGAGUUAUGCAUGUUAGUAGCCGUUUGUGAUAUAUUGUGAUGCAAUCUUCUGUUUCAGACGGUGACGGGUUAGACGGUGCCGGUGGGGCCUACUAGCUGUAUACGUGACGUGAUCCUUGCAUUUUUGCAAUACGUACUUUUGAAGUAAGUAUUCGGGCCGUUUUGUAUAUAUAACUUGCUUAUGUGUUUUGAGGUGAAUGAAAGGGUACCUAGGCGAGGGUGUACUUUAUCGCAUUCGACCUAAACCCUAAUUUACAUGCAUAUUUAUACAUGACAUGUCUAAAUGAAUUGUUUUGGGUUUGAACCCCUUGAACUUGUAGCUCGGGGUGACGUUUGUGAGUUGGGGUCGAUCUUCUGACCAAGAUGGACUAUUCGAACCAGCCGGGGCUUUGUCGAAGCCAUACCAACCUAGUUUGAGGUUACCAAGUUUGUGAAUCCGGUUCACCGAGAAUGUGAACCAAGUUUGUAGGUUCAAGUUGUGAACCAAGUUUGUGAACCGAGUUUAUGAACAAAGCUCAAUUUCGUUCGUUCGAGCAAGUUUGUGAGGUGACUGGCCAGUGAGGGUGAUAAGGUGUUAGGUGGGAGUACAAGUGGAGUUCUACGGACCUUAUUUGUGGUCGACGGAGUCUCGGCAGGAGAUCACGCAUGGCAAACGACUUGGCUUUGGAGCCAACCUGUAUUCUUCAUUUGUAUUGUUACUUUUGCACUUGACUUGACAUUUUGUGAAAUAGUUGUUUAUCUAAAUGUGCAAUUUACGAUUUUACCCAUGUUUAUUUACUAAGCGUAUAGCCUACCCCGUUUCCUUUGUUUUCCUUAGCAGGGGGCGACGCGGGGAAACUCCUUGGCACAUUCACUAGUAUAGUUAGGUUUAGUUUGUAAUAGUUGGACAAUUAAGAUGUUUGUUAUUGUUUUGGUGGUUUGUAUAAGGACCCUCCUUAGGGUCUACUUCCUGCUGGUUGUUAUCAUAAUGUAAUAUAAUGGAUUGACUCGCUGCUUUUGGGGAUGUAAAUAGAAUUUUUUGUUGGAGUCGGCUAUAAUGUGAAUAGUACGCUUUUG
rnacentral:lncRNA from 1 species